GAAGUGCUCUGACCAGCAGCUCUUGCAUGAGGCACCUACAGGCAGAGGAUUAAUUAGGUUUUCAGUUUCAGUUUCCCAGAAAGGAGGUGUCUCUGUGGUGACGAGCAGGGCUUCAUCCAGUGCCUCUGUCCCCACCGAGGGGACUAUGGGAGACAUGGAGGGUGUGUGAGCAACAGGUGAGACUGGAGCCAGCUGAAAACUGGGAGACCGACCCAGCCAACAAACAAUGUCGGUCUCUGUCUUGGCACCUGCAGGAAACAAGCUCCUACUUCCAGAAAAAGUGCUCCUGGGACUCCAGGAUACCAGGCAUCUGGGUAAGCUACAAUGCUUAACCACUUAACACAAUCAGGAAGCAACAGCCAUGCAUUCGGGAAAGGAACUUCAGUGUUGUGUGGCUCAGUCUCCAGACCUAACUUUCCCUUUGGUACAGACGCGGUGGUACAUGCCUGUAAUCCCAACACUUAGGCAGGAGGAUCACUCGAGCCCAGAAGAUCAAGACUAGUGUGAGCAACAAAAUCCUUCCCUGGCACCGGUUCCAGGAGGACCUCGUUCUUAGGCAGCAUCUGUGUCUCUGUUUUGUAAGACACACAGAGUAUCCUUAACCCACUGCAGAUAUUUCCCUGGGUCCAUGGUCAAUCAACACCACCUUUCAGUCUCCAGCCUCUUAACCAGCCCAGGGCUGAGUGUUGUUUAUAGUAUUAAUAUGUUUCUGGCUGGGCUCAGUGGCUCAUGCCUGUAAUCCCGGCACUAUGGGAGGCUGAGGCAGGCGGAUCACUUGAGGUCAGGAGUUCAAGACCAGCCUGGCCAACAUAGUAAAACCCCGUCUCUACUAAAAAUACAAAAAUGAGCCGGGUGUGGUGGCGUGUGUCUAUAAUCCCAGCUACUCGGGAGGCUGAGGCAGGAGAAUUGCUUGAACCUGGGAGGUGGAGGCUACAGUGAGCUGAGAUCAUGCCACUGCACUCCAGCCUGGGCAAGAAAGUGAGACUCCAUCUCAAAACAAAGAAACAAACAAAGUAUUAAUAUGUUCCCCUUGAUCAGUGGGGUGGUUCACCCUUGUAAUCCCAGCACUUUGGGAGGCAGAGGCUGGCGGAUCGCUUGAGUCCAGGAGUUCGAGACCAGCCUGGGUGAACUAGCAAAACCCUGCCUGUACUAAAAAUACAAAAAUUAACUGGGCUUGGUGGUGCGAGCCUGUAAUCCCAGUGGAGGCUGAGACAGGAGAAUCCUUUUGUAAUGCCUGACCUUGUUUUUUUACUAACCCUAUUUUAACCUUGUUUUUACUAACCCUAUUUUUAAAUUUUCCCUUUUUGUCUCCUUAAUUACCUAGCCUUGUUUCCCAUAUGAGUAGACUCUCCCUUAGCUGGGAAAGCCUGACGAACGCCAUCUGGCCCCUUGAUUUACAAGACAUUAAGGGCUACUUACCCAACCCCCUUCCUCAAAGAGUUAACCUGCGUAAGCAGAUCCUCAGCAUUUCAAAGGAGCCCAAUUAGCUGAUAAGGUACUGGAACAAACAAUGUACGAAGUUCCCAGGAUUUUGCUCAAAAGCAUAACAACAUAAAGCCUUGAGUCUGUGUCUGGCAUAGCAUCCAUAUCUAACUCUUAUGAAGGAUUUAGAGCCCGGCACCUGGUUCCGUUGCUUUUUUUGUAACCAUUUGUCUUUUAAAUUGUUUAUUUCUCUGUAACCAUUUGUUUUUUGAUUCUUGCAUGUUUUUACUUCUGUAGAAUUAUUGCAUUUGAGCUCCGCUCCCCUUCCGAACCAAGGUAUAAAAGUAAAUCAAGCCCCUUCCUCGGGGCCGAGAGAAUUUUGGAAAGUCAAGCCUUCUCUUGGCUGCCGGCUUAAAUAAAGGACUCUUAAUUCGUCUCG
rnacentral:lncRNA from 1 species